AUUGAACGCUGGCGGCAGGCCUAACACAUGCAAGUCGAACGGUAACAGGAAGCAGCUUGCUGCUUUGCUGACGAGUGGCGGACGGGUGAGUAAUGUCUGGGAAACUGCCCGAUGGAGGGGGAUAACUACUGGAAACGGUAGCUAAUACCGCAUAACGUCGCAAGACCAAAGAGGGGGACCUUCGGGCCUCUUGCCAUCGGAUGUGCCCAGAUGGGAUUAGCUAGUAGGUGGGGUAACGGCUCACCUAGGCGACGAUCCCUAGCUGGUCUGAGAGGAUGACCAGCCACACUGGAACUGAGACACGGUCCAGACUCCUACGGGAGGCAGCAGUGGGGAAUAUUGCACAAUGGGCGCAAGCCUGAUGCAGCCAUGCCGCGUGUAUGAAGAAGGCCUUCGGGUUGUAAAGUACUUUCAGCGGGGAGGAAGGGAGUAAAGUUAAUACCUUUGCUCAUUGACGUUACCCGCAGAAGAAGCACCGGCUAACUCCGUGCCAGCAGCCGCGGUAAUACGGAGGGUGCAAGCGUUAAUCGGAAUUACUGGGCGUAAAGCGCACGCAGGCGGUUUGUUAAGUCAGAUGUGAAAUCCCCGGGCUCAACCUGGGAACUGCAUCUGAUACUGGCAAGCUUGAGUCUCGUAGAGGGGGGUAGAAUUUCAGGUGUACCGGUGAAAUGCGUAGAGAUCUGGAGGAAUACCGGUGGCGAAGGCGGCCCCCUGGACGAAGACUGACGCUCAGGUGCGAAAGCGUGGGGAGCAAACAGGAUUAGAUACCCUGGUAGUCCACGCCGUAAACGAUGUCGACUUGGAGGUUGUGCCCUUGAGGCGUGGCUUCCGGAGCUAACGCGUUAAGUCGACCGCCUGGGGAGUACGGCCGCAAGGUUAAAACUCAAAUGAAUUGACGGGGGCCCGCACAAGCGGUGGAGCAUGUGGUUUAAUUCGAUGCAACGCGAAGAACCUUACCUGGUCUUGACAUCCACGGAAGUUUUCAGAGAUGAGAAUGUGCCUUCGGGAACCGUGAGACAGGUGCUGCAUGGCUGUCGUCAGCUCGUGUUGUGAAAUGUUGGGUUAAGUCCCGCAACGAGCGCAACCCUUAUCCUUUGUUGCCAGCGGUCCGGCCGGGAACUCAAAGGAGACUGCCAGUGAUAAACUGGAGGAAGGUGGGGAUGACGUCAAGUCAUCAUGGCCCUUACGACCAGGGCUACACACGUGCUACAAUGGCGCAUACAAAGAGAAGCGACCUCGCGAGAGCAAGCGGACCUCAUAAAGUGCGUCGUAGUCCGGAUUGGAGUCUGCAACUCGACUCCAUGAAGUCGGAAUCGCUAGUAAUCGUGGAUCAGAAUGCCACGGUGAAUACGUUCCCGGGCCUUGUACACACCGCCCGUCACACCAUGGGAGUGGGUUGCAAAAGAAGUAGGUAGCUUAACCUACGGGAGGGCGCUUACCACUUUGUGAUU
rnacentral:rRNA from 1 species